CGAACAUGGAAGCUUCUUUGUAACUGCUAACAGGACAGAGGCACUUCUCUCUCUGGAAAGAGGCAUGUGAAAUGAUCGACCUCGGCAGAGAAGCCCACGGAGGUGCCAAUACCAGGAUAAGGGGAAGAGCGGGGAAGUAGAGAGAAGGACCGAUUCGGUGGCAGGAGUUCAGAGCACGUGCUUGGUGAGGGAGGGAUCGUGUUGAAGCGCAUUAGCACCGUGGAUUAUUAUGCAAGCAAAGGAAUCCCACGUAAACGUUGUCACACGGUGCCUUCAGGUUCCUGGGCACCUAGGAAAGAAGUCCUACUAGCGGCAGCAAUGCAAACAGCCCUGCCAGCCACCGGCCGUGAGUCCACCUGACUGCCCUGAGCCUUGCUCACCAGUGAAGCGCCUAGGACCACGUCUAUUAGCACAGCGCCCUAGGCCACACCCACCACCAAAGUGUCCUGCGCUGUGCCUGUUGGGGAACAUCAGCAAAAAGCCGUGACUGCCGCUUGACCCGGGCUUUCGGAGGCUCCUCACCCCAUCCCCUGUCCCAGGAACCGGGUCCUGCCUUCCUUUCCUGCCCCCAAAGGCUGCUCCGAGGACUCAGCCUUGAGAUGCCAUGCAGUGUUGAGAACACCCGCCCUGAAGCCGGUCAAGGCCUCCCUGCAGGUCGUUCCCUGCCCUCCCAGGAAGGGCCGCUUCCAGGUUACACCGCAGAAGGUCCUGUAGGGUUACCCACCACCAACGUGCCCACCAACCAAGUGCUCCCCUCAGCCAUGCAGCAGUGUCCUGCCGUGUGGCCACCUCAACCCUGCCAGCUCGGCUGCCCACCUGGGUCGCGGCGCCUGGGUUCUUUGGGGAGCCUUCCUCGGACUCAGCGCUGUCUUCUCUUCUCCAAAUGCCCCUGGGGGAACAACCGGCUUUUCCUUCAGCUUCAGCUUGCUCUGCCUGGGAGGACACGGGGCAUGAGAGAGGCUGGAUGAUUGCAGCUUUUCUCGUGCUUUUUGGAGUCGGCUUCUCUUUCCUGGAGGCGGCGAGCACGUAGCAUCCCUAGUGCGCUGGCUUCUUAGAGCCCGGAAACCCAGAGCAGCGGGAUCUAGCUCAGCUCUGUCCUGUGGCCACGGGUGUCUUGUCUCCCUGUGCUGUGCACACCCUGGGCCCUACUCCCAUCCCCAGGCUGCCAUGCUUCAUUAAUAAAGCACAUUUCUGUGGGACACAGA